GGUUUUGCCAAGUUGGCCAGGCUGGUCUCAAACUCCUGACCUCAAGUGAUCUGCCCGCCUUGGCCUCCCAAAGUGCUGAGAUUAUAGGUGUGAGCCACCACGCCUGGCCCUGGUAAACUUUCAAUGGAUGCACCUGAACCUGCUGUGAGUGAGGUGGACUCCACCCUGGGAGGCUGGCGACCUGUCAUCUCAGCUUUGCCUUUCUAUUGGAAAGCUGAGGCACCAAAGGGGAGAAGGUCCUCGGGCCGGUCACAGGUCUUCUCGGUGCCAGAGCCAAGGUUGGAGGCAGCCUGGCUCUGCAGUCGUCAUCUCGCUACGGGGGCGACUUUGAAGUGUUGGGGAACCUCAUCAGCCUGGGCUCCACCCUACUGCCCACCUGUGGCUCUAUGCCCUUAGGCAGGCGGCCUCACUGUUCAUUGGCCUCAUCUGUAAAAUGGGCACAAUGACUCCUAUGCAGUGGGCUGUGAGGCUUUGAGAUGUGGCAUAGAAAGCUCCUGAUGCAGGGUGGUUGCCCAGUAGCGCCUCUCCAUCCUCUCUGAGCUCAUGUUCCCUGCAGUAAGAGGUGGGGGUAGUGGGCUGGCCAUCACUUCCACUGCCUACCCAGGCUGUUAUCACAGCAACCACCUUGCUGCUCCCGUAGUCCCCUCUCCAUUGCUCACUGGCUCCUUGCUUUCCCUGGCAGGUGCCAGGUUCUCUGCCAGCACCAGUUCUUGCCUCUCCUUGUAUUGCAGUUGCCAUCUCUGCACAGCUGACUUGCUCUUGUCAAGCUCCCAUGUCCCACCUCUUAGGGAGGCUCCCUACCCCCAUCACACAGCAGCCACCUGGCGGCGGUAAGUCACCUCCCCCUGUGGUCACUUAUAACCCAUCACCCCUGCAGACCUGUCUUCCAGGUAUCUACUGCCACCUGGCUGUUAGCUCCAUGAUCAGGGAUCCCUUUGGUUCUGUUCCCUGCAGCUCAUGACCUGGCAUAGUAGAUGCUCAACAAAUAUUUGAGGAAUGA